CCGUCCUCAUUGCGGCGCUGGCAAUGGCUGCCUCUGCCUCCGCGCCAGCGAGCCAGAUGCCAUGAGGUACUAUGUUAUCCACCACCGGGACCCCGACACUCCAGAAGAUGUGGAAAAUUUCGCCGACCGGCUGGGACUAUAAUGAAUAAUAUCGUGACAAUUUUUUUAAAUUGUAAA